UGGCACUAGUCUGUGUCCACAGGCAGUUGGAGGCACUCGUGCUCCUGAUCUGGCUCACAGAGCCCGAACUAUCUGACUCUCACCAGUACCCCAGUGUAUAAAGAGUAGGUGCUCACACAGCAGCAGGUCAUAGCACGAGGCAAGAGGACCUGGAGACCCUGCUGGCCUUGGAAAGGGCUGAUAUCAUAGCCGAAUACCAUCAGCUGAGGCCCAGAUAAGUACCAUAGCACUAGAGCACCCCCUAGAGGUAGGGGACCACAUCUGCAAGAGCAGGUGCAGCCCAGGAGGGGCUCAAAGCCAGCAUGAGCCAGGUCAGCCCAGACAAGGACCAUAGUCACCAGGAACAAGUGAGACCCUGGGGAUGGACCCUGGCAUCAGGAGCAAAUGAGGGUCUAUCCUGGAUCCUAGUUAUCAGUAGCUGAUGAGCCCAGGAGGGAAUCAUAGUCACCUGGUCCAGAUGAAGCCCAGUUGGUGACCAUACCCAAGUAUGUAGGAGUGGGUAUGGCCCAAGUGGUAUGAUAAGCAGCAAGACCAAUUAUGUACCAGGUGAGGAUCAGAGCAGCGUCCAGCCAGUGACACCCAAAUGGGUGUUGUUACCAGAACGAGCAGGUAAGUCCAGGUGAGGAUCAUAGUCCUCAAGUGCACCAGAUGUCCAGAUUUGUUAGCCAACAUGUAGAGGUGGGACCCAAUCAGGGAUCUGAAUCUAAGCUGAGAAGGAGGGCCCAGGCAGAGAUGAAAAUGAGAGGAGCAGAGCAUGAGGAAAAGGCUGGAGGCAUAGAGCCAGGUGAGGCCCAGGCAUGGAUCAGAGCCUAGCAUGAGCCAGGUCAGUCCAGACAAGGACCAUAGUCACCAAGAACUAGUGAGACUCUGGGGACAGACACGGGCAUCAGUAGCAAGUGAGGGUCGAUCCGGGAUCCUAGUCCUCAGUAGCCGAUGAGCCCAGUAGGGGAUCAUAGUCACCAGGUCCUGAUGAGGCCCAGGUGGUGAGCAUACUCAGGUAAGGAGGAACAGGUGUGGCCCAUUUGAUAUCAUAAGCAGCAAGAACAAUUAUGUCCCGGGUGAGGAUCAUAGCAGAUUCCAGCUAAUGAGACCCAAGUGGGUGUUGUUGCCAGGACAAGCAGGUAAGGACAGGCGGGGAUCAUUGUCCUCUGGUGCACCAGAUUUGCAGAUAGUGUGUUAGCCAGGAAGUAGAGGUGAGACCUAUUCAUGGAUCUGAAAAAAAAAAAAAAAAAAAAAAAAACAACAACAACAACAAAAAAAACAUGGAUCUGAAUCUAAGCUGAGCAGGGAGGGCCCAGGACAUGAAAAUCAGAGGAGCAGAGCACGAGUCAAAGGAUGGAGGCAUCAGAGCCAGGUGAGGUCCAGGAGGGGCCUUGGUGAGGCCAAGGAUGAGCCAGAUCAACACAGACAAGGACCAUAGUCACCAGGAACAAGUGAGACCCUGGGGACAUUCCCAGGCAUUAGUAGAAGUGAGGGUCCAUCUUGGCUCGUAGUGAUCGGUAGCCAAUGAGCCCAGGUGGGGACCAAGUCACCAGGUCCAGGUGAGGCUCAGGUGGGACCAGAGUCACCAGGUCAGGUCAGGCCCAGGUUGGGAUCAUCGCUGGUAGGAGCAGGUAAGACUGUCAGGCUGCUCCCAUUGGGCAGAGGGGCCCUUCCUCUCAUGCCCGGCCAGUCUCAGAGGGUCCUGGUCUGUCUCAGGAUUCAGGGGAGAGGAGCCAUUCUUCUCCCUUCUUUCCCCAUGUCCCUGGCGCUGAUCGGUUCCCACCACGGGGCACUUGUUUCAGCAUGCCAAGUAUGGGGUUCACGGGACCUGGGAUGAUGCUGACUCAUCACUCUGGAAGGUCACAGGGCCGUCAGAGCUUUCUGCAGGUUCCCCAAACUGCUGAGGUUCUAGGCCCAUCACGAGCGCAUUCUAGACAGAGCUCACCCCAAGCUUAAGAAGCACAUGGAGGAGGAACAGAUGUUCACUGGUAUUUACACCCCCAAGUGAUUCCUUCAGUGUUUCCUCAGUCAGGUAAGGCCACCCCAGGACCCUUGUUCCCUCAUCCUGCCCCCUGACUCUGGGGAGGGCCGAGCUCAGCCCCACCCUCCAGACAAGCCAGGCCCAAACCUGGGGCCCUAAGUCUGAGGCUCACAGCCCAUACCCAUUUGGAGAAGUCCAGCAGGUCCCUGGAGGAGGUUCCAGGGAGUGGGAUGUCUCUCCUUCAGCUCCCAGGGUGGCUUGGUCAGCUACUGCAGGAGGGAAGCUCCCAGAGCCCAUGGCUGCACACCUGUGUCCAGGAUCAGUGGGUUAUGUGCUUCUGCCCAGCUGCCCACAACCCAGGACCCCUCACUGGCCCGGAUGGCCCACAAGGAACUCCCUCCUCAUGCUCCCAGGGAACCAGGAGAGUGCAGGCAGGUGGCACCCGAACAAGGACCUGAUGUCAGAACAUUGGGUCCCCUUCCCUUUGGCACCUGCCUGGGCCACAUCAUGGGCCACACAGCAAACCAGACAAUAGAUUCCCCCCGGGACUCCUGUCACGGGGUCCACCCAGCCCACUGAGAUGACACUGUAGGGAUCCAGAUACCCUUCCUUCCCUGGGGCCACAGGAGCUCAAGCCACUCGCUGGGGAGUGAUAGGCAGGGCCAGGCCAGAGCGAGGGAAGCACUGAACCUGCCACCCCAAGGCCCCUCACAGUCCUGGGACCAUUUGACCUCUGCAUCCACAGGGAAGCUUCAUGCACCUGGGCCUCUGGAGCAGAGCGUGUUGGGGAGGAUGUGGGCCCUGAGGCUCUGGCCAGCAGACACCAUGCCCUGCUUCAUCUCACAUACCUUCAUAAAGGGCGCCCCCACAACAGGAAAAGAGUCCCUGACCCAGAGGGACCUGGGCUGGCCUCUCCCAGGGUGCUGGGGAGGCAGGUUCGACAUAAGCCCUCCCAGGGUCAGAAUGCAGAUUGAUGGGUUGAGCCCCCCCGUGGCCCUGACCAGUUCUGGAUUCUGCCCCAAGGCUCAGCGACCCUCUCAGAGCAGGAUGUGGCAUCCUGGGUGGGCCCCACAGAUCCAGGUCGCUGACCUAGGACAACACUGGAAAUUUCAGGACACCCCAGGGCAGGGGCAGCAGGGGCAGGCCGCUGGGCCACGUCCUCACCCACACUAGGAGGCAGGCUCCUCCACAUGCUGGGUCUCUGGUAGUCAGUCCCCUGGAAACAGUGGUCCAGAAGCCGGGGUCCAGCUGAUAUGCAGGGACCAGCACAGGGACCCCUAAGCUGUAGGGGCCCAGAGCAGGGACCCCUAAGCUGCAGGUACAGGUCAGGUCUGCUGUCCACAAUACUGCCUCUCAGGCUCCAACUUCAGGAAAUGUGCCCACACUCAGAGUCUGCCCAGGCUCCAAGUUGGGGGACUGUAGCACCCGCACCCCCAUGUGACUUCGGGUUUCCCUAAAGGACAGGAUGGUCCCACUCCGCCAGGGAAGGUGCACACCCUAAGGUCGGAGCCCCUGUUUGUUGUUGAAAGUUCAAUAAAGUCU